CAUUCUGCUGUACACCUGAAACUAACAUGAUACUGUAAAUCAACUAUACAUUCAAAAAAAAAAAAAGAUAAAAACAGAUAUGGUAUGCAUUAGGAGACACUGUCCCAAAAGGAUAUAGUGGACAAAGCAUUAAUGUCCUUAAUAUAAAGCAGGCUUAUGAAUCAAAAAGAUAAACCCCCCAUUAGAUCAAUGUAAUUUCAGCGUUCACAGAAGAUCUACAAACGGCCAAUGAAUCAACUACAAGCUGCCCAGCCUCAGUAGUAAUCAGGAAACACAAAAGAAGUGAUUUCCCCAUCUUGUUGGGGACAUUUAAAGGCUCCUUUAAUUGACACUGGCAAGGAGUGGGGAAAGGGUUUCCUCACACUGUUGGUGGGAGUGUAAGGCAGCCUCUCUGGAGGGUGACUUGUCAUUAAAAUUUUAAAUGCACCCUUGCUUUUGGUCUUGUGUGGGUGCACGUUCACACAGUUCACUGUGUUAUGUUUGUAAUAGCACUGCAGACAACCUAAAUGUCACUGGUAGACUUUUUUCAUAAUUCAGCCAUUUUCCUAACUAUGGAACAUUUUGUAGAUUUUAAAAAGAAUGUGGUACGUCUAUAUGCAACGACAUGGAAAGAACUACAGAUCUAUUUACUGUGAAAUUUAAAAAGCAAACCACAGAAAUACACUAUACACACACACAAAUCCUAUUUAUACAGGUGGAAAACAAGCAAGUACAACCUUUCCCUAAGGUUCUUUUUUUUUUCCUCCCUUAGAUUCUGUAUGCCUGUCUUUAAAGGCAGGUAAAUGUCUGGAAAGAUACACACGUGUUAGCAGUGGUUACCUACAGGUAAAGGAGCUGUACAGUAUUCCAUUAUAUGGACACACCAUCUGUUCCUGGACACUUGGAUAUUUCCUGUCUUUUGCUUCUACAAAUAAUGCUUCAAGGACUACUGCUGAACAUACACUUAUGCAUGGAUGUAUAAUUUUAUCUGUAUAAUAAAGUUUUAGAACUUGAA